rnacentral:lncRNA from 1 species
UCCAAUAAGUUUUUGUGUACUCAAUUCUUUUGUGUAAUGCAAGUUAGUCCUUCUCUUCAUUUUCUCCUCAAUUUUGAUCCUCCAUCUUUUAUUCCGCGAGAUUUUGUCCACAAACUCAAUGUAAUAGCCAACUGAUUAUUUUCUUUUCCAAUUGCUUCAAAACGGAUCCAUAACUAAAAACAAAAGAAAAUUAACACAAGUUAGGUAAAAAUUGAUAAUUUGACGACAUAAAAACCUAAUUAUGUAGUCCGAAUAAGUGCAUAAAAUGCAGUUAUCAACUUGGUUCAAAAAAAAAUUUAUAUUUUGGUGUAUAGUUGAGUGAAUUGAAAUUUUAUAUUUUGGUGUAAUAAUUGAUUGAACUUUUAUGUUUCUAGUGCUUAACAUUGGCAGAAGUUUUUGUGGCAGCAGAUUACCAUUCAGUUUUCAAUCUGGAUUUGUUAAUGUUUAAUGUGAAUAAUGAUAACGCAUUUAUCUAUGUUUAUGGAGUGUGAAAUAAAGGGUAAACCAGCAUCGAUAUUGGUUGAUGAGUUCACUGAGGCAUCAAUUGUUCCUCCUAGUGAUAGUGGCUUGGAUGACAGUGCUAAAUACACAUCUGGUUUGACUAUUUACCAGCAAGUCUGGGAAGCUGUAACAUUGGCAGAUCAAUCAGCGGUGGGGGUUCAAGGUCCUGUUAGUGUGGGAAGUGCAAGUGAUCGAUCUGGAUAAAUCAUGGCAUCUAGGGCCUAUGUUUUUACAAAAU